rnacentral:rRNA from 1 species
GCAAGGUUAACCGAAUAGGGGAGCCGGAGGGAAACCGAGUCUUAAUUGGGCGUUAAGUUGCAGGGUAUAGACCCGAAACCCGGUGAUCUAGCCAUGGGCAGGUUGAAGGUUGGGUAACACUAACUGGAGGACCGAACCGACUAAUGUUGAAAAAUUAGCGGAUGACCUGUGGCUGGGGGUGAAAGGCCAAUCAAACCGGGAGAUAGCUGGUUCUCCCCGAAAGCUAUUUAGGUAGCGCCUCGUGAAUUCAUCUCCGGGGGUAGAGCACUGUUUCGGCUAGGGGGCCAUCCCGGCUUACCAACCCGAUGCAAACUGCGAAUACCGGAGAAUGUUAUCACGGGAGACACACGGCGGGUGCUAACGUCCGUCGUGAAGAGGGAAACAACCCAGACCGCCAGCUAAGGUCCCAAAGUCAUGGUUAAGUGGGAAACGAUGUGGGAAGGCCCAGACAGCCAGGAUGUUGGCUUAGAAGCAGCCAUCAUUUAAAGAAAGCGUAAUAGCUCACUGGUCGAGUCGGCCUGCGCGGAAGAUGUAACGGGGCUAAACCAUGCACCGAAGCUGCGGCAGCGACACUGUGUGUUGUUGGGUAGGGGAGCGUUCUGUAAGCCUGUGAAGGUGUGUCGUGAGGCAUGCUGGAGGUAUCAGAAGUGCGAAUGCUGACAUAAGUAACGAUAAAGCGGGUGAAAAGCCCGCUCGCCGGAAGACCAAGGGUUCCUGUCCAACGUUAAUCGGGGCAGGGUGAGUCGACCCCUAAGGCGAGGCCGAAAGGCGUAGUCGAUGGGAAACGGGUUAAUAUUCCCGUACUUGGUGUUACUGCGAAGGGGGGACGGAGAAGGCUAUGUUGGCCGGGCGACGGUUGUCCCGGUUUAAGCGUGUAGGUGUGUGUUCCAGGUAAAUCCGGUUCACUUUAACACUGAGGCGUGACGACGAGGCACUACGGUGCUGAAGCAACAAAUGCCCUGCUUCCAGGAAAAGCCUCUAAGCAUCAGGUAACAUCAAAUCGUACCCCAAACCGACA